ACGUGCUACGCAGAACCGGGCGACGGGACCACGGUCUAAGGAGUUCAUGACUGGGGUG
rnacentral:rRNA from 1 species